rnacentral:rRNA from 1 species
AUUGAACGCUGGCGGCAGGCCUAAUACAUGCAAGUCGAACGAGUGGCGGACGGGUGAGUAAUGUCUGGGCAACUGUCUGCUGGAGGGGGAUAAUUACUGGAAACGGUAGCUACUACCUCAUACCAUCGGAUCUGCCCUGGUGGGAGUAGCUGGUAGGUGGGGUAAUGGCUCACCUAGUCGACGAUCCCUAGCUGGUCUGAGAGGAUGACCAGCCACCCGGGAGCUGGGACACGGUCCAAAAUCCGAAGUGAGGCAGCGGUGGGGAUUAUUGGACAAGGAGCACAAGCCACAUGCGGCCAUUCCGGGUGUAGGAAAAAGGCCUUCGGGGUGUAAAGUACGUUCAGCUGGGAGGCGUUACCCACAGAAUAAGCACCGGCUAACUCCGUGCCAGCAGCCGCGGUAAUAC